rnacentral:lncRNA from 1 species
AAGGAAGAGCUAGUCUACCUUCUUCCUUCUAUGUACCAGGAAACAGGCCCAGAGAAGGGGAGUAACUUGCCCAAAGGCGCACAGAGCACUGGGUCAGAGUGUGAAGGGAGUGGCUGCCUGCUCUGGGGCCUUGGGGCUGAAUCCAGGUGCCUCCUCUCGCUCCCUGAGGCUGACGGGUGCAGGAGGGUCUGCAAGUGAGGCUUGCUUCCCAGACACCACGAAGGCCAGAAGACAACAGAACAACAUCCGUAAGGGGCUGAAAGAAAAGAAAACUGGUCAACCGAGAAUUUUAUACCCAACAAAAAUAUCUUUCAAGAAUGAAGGUGAAUUAAAGAUUUUUUCAGAUAAAGUUGUAGGUCCUUCCAGUUGUGGCAUGUGGGACACUGCCUCAGCAUGGCCUGAUGAGCGGUGCCACGUCUGCACCCAGGAUCCGAACUGGUGAAACCCUGGGCCACCAAAGCGGAGCGCGAGAACUUAACCACCGGCCACAGGGUCAGCCUCUAAAGGAAGUUCUUUAGGGAGAAGGAGAAUGAUGCAGAAUGAACACUUGGCUCUACAUAAAGGAAUGAAGAGUGUCAGAAGUGGUAAACACGAGUAAAUACAAAAAGACCUCCCUUCGUUUUUAAAUUUCUUUAAAAUAUAGUUGCCUGUUUAAAGCAAAAAUAAUAAUGUGGUGUAGGGUUUAUAACACAAAAAUAAAACGUAUGACAACAAUAG